rnacentral:lncRNA from 10 species
UUUUAUUGACAGAUGUGGUGGUGAGACUUGCUCUUGGAUGCUGUCAGGAAGUAUCAUCUGACUGCGUUUGCUACCCUGGGGGAGACAAACAAAACUUGAGUGAAGGAAAAUGAGAACUCACCUGAAACCAAGAAGAGUCUUUGGAAAAGGAUUUUUGUGUAGGUCAUCUGGAAAGUGUUUACUCUUAGCAGUUAUGCAUAACUAUAGUCUUAAGAACAAAGUGAGGUGGGGGUGCGGGUAAGGGUGGGAAUGGGGUAGGGGUAAACGAGUGGGUGGAGACGUGUCUGUGUGUCCAAAAAACUGUUUAAAAUUUUUUUAAAUUUUUUAAUUUUUAAUUUUUUAUUUUUUUUUGAGACGGAGUCUCGAAAGACUUUCUUUGCCCUGCUAAGUGCCUGCAUUCCCAUAUUUCACUUUAAUUAGCUUUGGUGAGUAGGAAUAUGCUUGGAGAAAAUGGACCCAUUUGAUAUACUAACCAUUGAGCCCCACCAUGUGCCCAGCCUGGGCCCGGCAUGGGGAGUAUGGUCAGAGCAGUCUCUGCCUCCACCACUCACCUGUCCUUUAACUUUAGACAAGUCACUGACCUCUCUAAGCCUCACCGCCCUAUCUGCUAGCCCCUCUUCCAGCCACCAUCAUCUGUCACCUCCCUUGUAGGAGCCU